rnacentral:tRNA from 1 species
GCCCGAAUGGCGGAACUGGCAGACGCGCCGGACUCAAAAUCCGGUGGCCGCAAGGCCGUGUGGGUUCGACCCCCUCUUCGGGCA